UACGAAGGGGGCUAGCGUUGUACGGAAUCACUGGGAGUAAAGCGCACGCAGGCGGAUCGAUAAGUCGGGGGUGAAAGCCCGGGGCUCAACCUCGGAAUUGCCUUCGAUAGUGUCGGUCUCGAGUCCGGGAGAGGUGAGUGGAAUUCCUAGUGUAGAGGUGAAAUUCGUAGAUAUUAGGAAGAACACCAGUGGCGAAGGCUGCUCACUGGCCCGGGACUGACGCGCAGGUGCGAAAGCGUGGGGAGCAAACAGG
rnacentral:rRNA from 1 species